UACAGAGGGUGCGAGCGUUGUCCGGAAUCACUGGGCGUAAAGGGCGCGUAGGUGGCGCGACAAGUCAGUGGUGAAAGUUCGACGCUCAACGUCGAAUCGGCCACUGAUACUGUUGGGCUUGAGCACUGUAGAGGCUAAUGGAAUUCCGGGUGUAGCGGUGGAAUGCGUAGAGAUCCGGAAGAACACCGGUGGCGAAGGCGGUUAGCUGGGCGAGUUGCUGGACACUGGAGGCGCGACAGCGUGGGGAGCAAACAGGG
rnacentral:rRNA from 1 species